UAGCUCAGUUGGUAGAGCGCAACCUUGCCAAGGUUGAGGUCGCCAGUUCGAACCUGG
rnacentral:tRNA from 1 species